GUCAGGAUGGCCGAGUGGUCUAAGGCGCCAGACUCAAGCUCUGGGGCUUCUGGUCUCCGCGUGGAGGCGUGGGUUCGAAUCCCACUCCUGACA